GAAGCCCUGAACGCCUCCCAAAUCGUGGAUAAGCUGCAGCUAGCUGUAUUCAGUUCGUUCCAUCCCUGCCGCCACCUACUGCAUUCAUGUUCACCACAUGCUUGAUAAAAUGCUUGCAAUGAUUAUAUUACAUGUUGUCUUGAUAAUUUUUGCCAUCGGACAGGAUUUUGUAACUAAAUGCAUGCAGAUUUUUGGAGUAACAAGGCAGUAGCUAAAAAACAGCCAGGGCUCAGGUGGGUAUGAUCAUGGGUAAGAAGCCUUUAGUUAUGAAACGAACUAGCUGAAAGAUUUAGCUCAAAAAAUAAGAAAAAUUACACACCGUUAUUUGCAUUCUAUAUUUGUGGAACAUGUCUUUAUUGUUCUACUGAGGAUGUAAGUGCAAUCAGAGGUGAAGAAGUAAUCCUUCUUCUUUUUAAAAAGAAAGUGUAGAGUAUUAUUUAGAGCAGUACAUCAUAUCCUAAUUUACCAAUCAUUUAUUUCUUUUCUUUCUAGCAAUCGUAUUGGAUCAUAUUGUGCAACAAUAUAUCCCCUUCUGAUUAUUUAAUGGUUUCUUAUUUCCUUUGCAGGUGUACAAACUGAACCAGGGAUUUGGUAUUUUUCAUCCAGAAACUGAAUUUCAAAAUAUUUUAUUAAGGAUAUGUUUGGCCAGAAUAAUAAAACAAUGUGUCUGAACAACUGAAUCUCUAGCUCUUCUGAAAGAUUGCUGCUGCUCAGAAUGGUAUGUAUAUCUCCACAAUUGGAAUUGCUAACAGACUUCAAAAGAGGAAACGUGCUACUGCUUUCUCAUCAUGUAUCCUUUCAGACCUUGUGCAUCCUGAAUGCAAGUAAUCAUAUUGGAAAAGGUGAAGCUGUAGGUUACUACAUCUUCCCAGUGCUGAGAUGUGCCUUCUACUGUGGUUGUCUUGAAGUAGGGGGCGCGAGAGAUCUAAUGAAGAGAGAGGAACUUCCAUACGUGUUCGCGCUCAUCAUGAUCAAGACUUGGAAGCUUGCAUCAAUGGCACGAUGUAAUAUACAUUCAACAUUCACUGUUUUGCCAUGUUUUAUUGUUUAGCAUUUUAAUAGUUCUUUAUUUCAAUUGUUGAUCUGUUGCCUCAAGAUAUAAGGGUUGUAAUAUUUUUAUUAACAAUGAAUUAUGUGAACUGCUAUUGAAAGAUUGAUUAUAGCCAGCCCAUAUUUUCGGUU